rnacentral:tRNA from 1 species
GGAGGCGUCGCAUAGUGGUCUAGUGCGCGCGCUUGGAAAGCGCGUAGGGGGAAACCUCUCGAGAGUUCGAAUCUCUCCGCCUCCG